AACGAACGCUGGCGGCAUGCCUAACACAUGCAAGUCGAACGAGACCUUCGGGUCUAGUGGCGCACGGGUGCGUAACGCGUGGGAACCUGCCCUUAGGUUCGGAAUAACUCCCCGAAAGGGGUGCUAAUACCGGAUAAUGUCUUCGGACCAAAGAUUUAUCGCCUUUGGAUGGGCCCGCGUUGGAUUAGCUAGUUGGUAGGGUAAAAGCCUACCAAGGCGACGAUCCAUAGCUGGUCUGAGAGGAUGAUCAGCCACACUGGGACUGAGACACGGCCAAGACUGAUAAGAGAGGCAGCAGUGGGGAAUAGUCGACAAGGGGCGAAAGCGUGAUAAAGCAAUGGCGCGUGGGUGAAGAAGGUCUUCGGAGUGUAAAGAACUUUAAGGUGGGAGGAAGGGAAGUAAGUGAAUACCUUGUUGCAUUGAGGUGACAAACAGAAUAAGCAACGGCUAAAUUCGUG
rnacentral:rRNA from 1 species